rnacentral:rRNA from 1 species
AAACUGGCAGGCUUGAGUCUUGUAGAGGGGGGUAGAAUUCCAGGUGUAGCGGUGAAAUGCGUAGAGAUCUGGAGGAAUACCGGUGGCGAAGGCGGCCCCCUGGACAAAGACUGACGCUCAGGUGCGAAAGCGUGGGGAGCAAACAGGAUUAGAUACCCUGGUAGUCCACGCCGUAAACGAUGUCUACUUGGAGGUUGUGCCCUUGAGGCGUGGCUUCCGGAGCUAACGCGUUAAGUAGACCGCCUGGGGAGUACGGCCGCAAGGUUAAAACUCAAAUGAAUUGACGGGGGCCCGCACAAGCGGUGGAGCAUGUGGUUUAAUUCGAUGCAACGCGAAGAACCUUAC